CACCCGCAGCUCUAGUGGUGGUCACUUUUAUUGAGCCUAAAGCGUUCGUAGCCGGUUCUGUAAAUCUUCAGAUAAAUUCAUUCGCUCAACGGAUGAUCUUCUGAAGAGACUGUAGAACUUGGGACCGGGUGAGGUUGAAUGUACUUCCGGGGUAGGGGUAAAAUCCUGUAAUCCUGGAAGGACAACCGGUGGCGAAGGCGUUCAACUAGAACGGAUCCGACGGUGAGGAACGAGGGCUAGGGGAGCAAACCGGAUUAGAUACCCGGGUAGUCCUAGCUGUAAACACUGCCCACUUGGUGUUGCCUCUCUGUUGAAGGGGGGCAGUGCCGGAGCGAAGGUGUUAAGUGGGCCGCUUGGGGAGUAUGGUCGCAAGGCUGAAACUUAAAGGAAUUGGCGGGGGAGCACCGCAACGGGAGGAGCGUGCGGUUUAAUUGGAUUCAACGCCGGAAAACUCACCGGGAGCGACCUUUGGAUGAGAGUCAACUUGAUGAGUUUACUCGAUAGAAGGAGAGGUGGUGCAUGGCCGUCGUCAGCUCGUACCGUAGGGCGUUCACUUAAGUGUGAUAACGAGCGAGACCCCCAUCUCUAAUUGCCAGUAUGUCUUUGCGGACAUGCGCACUUUAGAGGGACCGCCAGCGCUAAGCUGGAGGAAGGAGGGGUCGACGGCAGGUCAGUACGCCCCGAAUCUCCCGGGCUACACGCGCGCUACAAAGGACAGGACAAUGAGUUGCAACCUCGAAAGGGGGAGCUAACCUCGAAACCUGUUCAUAGUUAGGAUUGAGGGCUGUAACUCGCCCUCAUGAAUGUGGAUUCCGUAGUAAUCGCGGGUCAACAGCCCGCGGUGAAUAUGCCCCUGCUCCU
rnacentral:rRNA from 1 species